rnacentral:rRNA from 1 species
GUGGGGUAAUUUUCCGCAAUGGGCGAAAGCCUGACGGAGCAAUGCCGCGUGGAGGUGGAAGGCCUACGGGUCGUCAACUUCUUUUCUCGGAGAAGAAACAAUGACGGUACCUGAGGAAUAAGCAUCGGCUAACUCUGUGCAAG